AAAAUACCAAAUGAUGAAAUAAAAAAUAUUAAAAAUCAGAAAUAGAAACUAGAAUUUAUUUGGGAAAUAAUGCAAUUGGUCCCAUAAUUUUUGGAUUAAAAAUGAAGAAGAUAUUGAUUUUUGAAAAUAAUGGAAAUAAAAGAAAUAAAAUCAGAAAUUAAGAAAAUAGAAAAAGCGUGAGCCGUCUGAUGAUGAUUCAUUAAUUGACGUGGAUCAUCACACGGCCAGGAAGCGCGUGUUCAC
rnacentral:lncRNA from 1 species